rnacentral:rRNA from 1 species
GACGAACGCUGGCGGCGUGCCUAACACAUGCAAGUCGAACGGGGUGAUUUCCUUCGGGAGAUCACUUAGUGGCGAACGGGUGAGUAACGCGUGAGAAACCUGCCUUUCAGUGGGGGACAACAGUUGGAAACGACUGCUAAUACCGCAUAAUGUAUAUUGGGGGCAUCCCUAAUAUACCAAAGCUUUAUGUGCUGAAAGAUGGUCUCGCGUCUGAUUAGCUAGAUGGCGGGGUAACGGCCCACCAUGGCGACGAUCAGUAGCCGGUCUGAGAGGAUGAACGGCCACAUUGGGACUGAGAUACGGCCCAG